rnacentral:rRNA from 1 species
UACGUAGGCAGCGAGCGUUGUUCGGAAUUACUGGGCGUAAAGAGUGUGUAGGCGGUGCUCUAAGUCUGUCGUGAAAUGUCCCGGCUUAACUGGGAGGGUGCGGCGGAAACUGGAGUGCUAGAGGGUGGGAGAGGAAAGCGGAAUUCCUGGUGUAGCGGUGAAAUGCGUAGAUAUCAGGAGGAACACCUGCGGUGUAGACAGCUUUCUGGACCACUUCUGACGCUGAGACACGAAAGCGUGGGUAGCAAACAGG